GGCUGAGUCUUCAGUUUCUGCAGCAGCUGUGUCUCUGGCAGACACACAGAAGAGCCGUCUGCAGAGAUAAGAGUCAGCCUCCCUGCGGCACCUCCUGAUCUGAACUCCCGCAGACUCCCAGCACUUCUGAUCCAGACCUGAGCUUGGUGGCACAAGCCUGCUUCUAGCGCUAGUGGAGAUAGCUGAACCACUACAGCAAUCACAGCUGAGCGCUAGGAUAUGGAAGAAAAACAAAUGGUUUUCAAGACUUAGUUUAAAAGCCAACCUCUGUACUGAGAAGGAGAAGGAAUACUUUGACUGCAGCAGGACAGCCUGUCACCCAAGGGAAAGCUAA
rnacentral:lncRNA from 14 species